UUGAGCUUGCCUUGUGCUGGGGUGUAGGGCCACUGUGAGCUCACGGUACGGCGGUGGAGACAAGCAAGCACGCACGCACAAUUCCCGCAAGGUGUACCCAGGUGUUUCGGGAGCUCAGAAGAGAUAAUGACUAACUCUUCCUUUGGGGAGAGGCUGUGGCCGUGGCUUAGCUUUUCAACUGGAUCAUAAAGGAUUUUACAUUCUGCUUGGAGAAACAGACAAUAAUAAAUGCAGUAUGUACACAGGAACUCACAGUUUAUGGGCCCUCCAGCCUACCCAGUCCCAGGCACCUGGAAGAAGUUCUCCACGUGUUCCCUUGGGGCCUCCUCCCGGAGUGCUGGGUACGUGUAUUUGCCCAUCAUGUCAUAAAUGGACUUCAUGAUGUCAAGCAUUUCCUGUUAGGCCAAGAGAAAAGAAGAUCCCUCCUCAGAGCCUCCAGCCUCCAGACCAAGAGCCCCAGGGCCUAGGGCAGACCACACCCCUUGCUGGUGGUAUGUGGGUCAUGUUUCCCUCCCAUGGCCCUUUGCAUCACCCCCACCCCCACAACCCCCCAGCCCUUCAGUUGCCCUGCACCUCCUUGGUGAUACAGCCAUCCUUGUUGAGGUCAUACAGGUUGAAGGCCCAAUUCAGCCUGUCAUCUACCGUUCCCCGAAGAAUAACCGACAAACCAGCCACAAAGUCCUAGAAAGGAGGCGGGGGGCACUGUGUCUUCAGAUACUCUUCACCCAACCCUUUCUUUGGGUUUGGCCUGGAGAUCCUGGCCCUGAAGUCCCAGGAGACAGGGUUCCCUGGUCCACCUCCCCCAGCUCACCUCAAAACUGACAGAGCCAUCAUGGUUGGUGUCAAAGGCAUUGAAGAGAAAAGUGGCAUAGGUGCUGGAGUCUGUAGGAUGAGUGUGGAGAAGUAAGCUUGGCUUCCAGACAGGAGAGGACUUCCCACCUUUAUGGCACUCCCCCAACCCCCUCAUCAUUGUGGCAUUCCCAGCCCUCCAGAACGCUGUCUCCCACUCAGCCUAGAGAUGGACGGCUGCUUCCCCUUGGGCCUUGUCCCCUCACCUCCUUGAGGAAAGAACUGGGAGUAAAUCUGCUUGAAGUUCUCCUCACUGACAAUUCCGCUGGGGCAUUCCUGGGAGGGGAGGGGAAUCUGGAUGAGGGCAGAGACAAAACCCCCUUCUGCUCACUGGCUCCCCCACUUCAUGGCCAGAGACUCCCAGAGAAAGAGGGAAAAUUUUCAUGCCUCCAGGGACUCACCAGCUCUAAUGAUGGGAGCCAAGACUUCUUCCCCAGACCAGAAAUAAAAAACACAGAGCUAAAAAAA